GAGGGGCCCGCGCCCGAUUAGCUAGUUGGUGAGGUAAUGGCUCACCAAGGCAUUGAUCGGUAGCUGGUCUGAGAGGAUGAUCAGCCACACUGGAACUGAGACACGGUCCAGACUCCUACGGGAGGCAGCAGUGGGGAGUCUUGCACAAUGGGCGAAAGCCUGAUGCAGCGACGCCGCGUGGGGGAUGAAGCAUUUCGGUGUGUAAACCCCUUUCGAUCCGGACGAAACCCCGCAAGGGAUUGGCGGUACGGAUAUAAGAAGCCCCGGCUAACUACGUGCCAGCAGCCGCGGUAAGACGUAGGGGGCCAGCGUUGUUCGGAAUUACUGGGUGUAAAGGGUUCGUAGGCGGUGUAGCAAGUCGGGAGUGAAAUCUUUGGGCUUAACCCAGAGGCUGCUUCCGAAACUGCUGUGCUUGAGCGUGGGAGUGGCGCGUGGAAUUGCAGGUGUAGCGGUGAAAUGCGUAGAUAUCUGCAGG
rnacentral:rRNA from 1 species